rnacentral:lncRNA from 1 species
AGAGAAACAAGGAGGAGUGGAUGAGUAUUGCCAGGCACGCCAGUUCAAAGUUACUUCUUAAACAAGGAUUUUUUAAGUAGACAAAUAUUAACCAUGGCCCACCAGAGAUGAGAAAGCUUCUCCAUCUAGGGACAAUGAGGCCUGGUCAGGAAAGUAGAUGACCUGGUUCUGAUCCUGCCAAUGUCUGCUGUGCCAUGAACUGCCCUGAAGACCUUGUCUCACAAUGAAGAAAUGAGUCCAUUCAUAAGAGAACCACUUGCAUCAUCUCCCACUUUCCUUAACAAGAAACAGCAACCUGUUAAAUGGAGAGACUGUGAAAGUUACAGAUGUGCUUACAUCCUAAAAUGUAUUUGAGUAAUUAUAUGACAAGCAGUCAUCAAAUAGUUUCAUUAUAGGCCAGAUGAAAGUCAUCUGUGGUACGCCACCAAAAAGACAAAAAGGGAAGUGGGUAAGGAGAGCUGUUAGCAUUCUUUAAAGAGUUUAGCUAAACGAAUAGACAAACUGGAAAAAGACAGUUUAAUUUUUAUCAUUAUGUUGCCCCAAAUGUAAUGCACAUGUACAUUCCUUUGAUUUAUGCUUCUCUUUGUAUCUCAUGCAAUUGUGCUUUUAUAAUACAGUACCAAUAAAUGGAGUUACUUGCUUACUUUGGAGAGGAGAUGUAUUUAUGUUAGAGAGAUAUAUGUAUGUUAGAGACAUCAACUACUGGAUGAAAAAGAAAGGCCAACACAGUCUGCAGGAGCAGAUAAUGUGGCUGCAACUUUUCUUUUUAAAAGUCACUUCUUCCAGCUUAUUUUUAAUAAUUGAGGGAUCAGAAUAUUUAUUCAUUUUUUCAAUGUAAAGGAGUUUUGGUGAAUGAAUUCUAUGCAUUUUAUUUCUUCUGCAC